GAUGAACGCUAGCGAUAGGCUUAACACAUGCAAGUCGAGGGACCGGCGCACGGGUGCGUCACGCGUAUGCAACUUUCCUCACAGAGGGGGAUAACCCGUCGAAAGACGGACUAAUACCGCGUACUGUGAGCUAGGAAUGCGUCCCAUUAGCUAGUUGGUGAGUUAACGGCUAACCAAGGCAACGAUGGGUAGGGGAACUGAGAGGUUGAAACCCCACACUGGUACUGAGACACGGACCAGACGCGUACGGGAGGCAGCAGUGAGGAAUAUUGGUCAAUGGGCGAGAGCCUGAACCAGCCAAGUCGCGUGAAGGAUGACUGUCUAUGGAUGGUAAACGUCUUUUGUAGGGGAAUAUGUACCCUACGAAUAAGCAUCGGCUAACUCCGUGCCAGCAGCCGCGGUAAUUC
rnacentral:rRNA from 1 species